CCGAUCCUUAACCCACUGAGGGAGGCCAGGGAUUGAAUCUGCAUCCUUAUGGAUAGUAGACAGGUUCAUUUCCACUGAGCCACAAGGGAGCUCCCCCCCCUUUUUUUUUUUAAAUGGCCACACUGAAUCUGAGCUGCAGCUGCAACCUACGCCAUAUCCAUGGGCAACUGUAGCAACGCUGGAUCCUUUAACCCACUGCACUGGGUGGUAGAUUAAACUGUGCCUCUGGAGCAAUUCAAGCCACUGUAGUUGGGUUCUUCACCCACUACACCACAGCAGGAACUCCCAAGAAGGCUGAUUUUGAAAAGAUUAUGAAGGUGUUUCAUCAGGGUUACAAAGCUGACCUGAAGGCUGGAUGGGAUAUAGUUUUUUAAACAUUUGAAUUCAAAUGCUUUCAGAAAGGACGGGCACCACCCAUCUCUGCUGUGUUUUAGCUGGCUCCUGCAGGCAUUUUGGUUUGUAACCUUUAUAGCAAGUCCUAUUUGGGUGCGUCUAGAGACAAAUACAGAACCUGGGAUAUUGUCUCAGCCAUUACCACCUGAGUAAAGGGUCUAGAGACCAAAAAAGCAGUAGUUUCAAGUACAUAUCUGAAUAUAAUUAUUGCUUCCUAGGCCCCAAGUUCUAGCCCACCAGUUCUAGGCCCAGCUGCUAUCACAAGUUAUUGAGGUUCUUCUUUAUGGUUACAUGAGAUAUGGUUGGAAAAAUCCACCUGCACAGCCUAAUUUUAUAUCUCAAAACCCAAGCCUCACCCUGUGACAUUUGUAGGUGAUUAUCAUAAAGAACAAACUUGGGUAUGCCUGUACAAGUCAGGAAUGACUCAGUAUUUCAUUUAACGAAGUGAAAUUGAUCUGGGCCUUGAACCUUGGAAGCUCUGUUUGAUAUUCAAUGAGAGCUGUUAGAGCCACUGACACAGGGUCGAAUGUUGCCUUUCUCAGCGUGUUGGGGCCACCUGGAUUCCAUGGCUCGUGGUCCCUCCUCCACCUUCAAAGUUCACCACCCUAAUCUCUGCCUCCCUGGUCAGCUUGCUUUCUCCUCUGCUGAAGUCAGAUUUCCCUCCUUCUCCCUCUUGAAAGGAUGUUGUGAUGAUAUUUAGGGCCCCUCAGAUGACCCAGGAUAACCUCUCAAGAUCCUUAAUUUCAUCCCAUCUACAAAGUCAUUUUUGCCUAUAAGGUAACAUUCACAGGUCCUGGUGAUGAGCAUGUGGGUAUAACUUUUGAGGACUGACCUCCAACCUCCAUUAGUCCCCUGGGUUCUGCUCAGACUUCCUUUUGCUCCUCUGAGGUGCCUCCCUGAUGCCCAAGAUGUGUCCUUGGGUCAGACGUCCCUAGUGUAGCGUGUCGCACACCCAAUUGCUAUUGUCCUCUUGUCCUUCUUUCUCUCCCUUCUGCUUCCUCUUGGUCUGGCGCAUGCUACAUGCUCCGUAUGUGUUUGCAAGAAUGAAAGUGCCCCUCUGACGGACAAUUCUAUGAUGAAUAGCCCUGAUGAAGCAGGCAGAGAGGUCCCCUGGUCAAGGUGAUAAGGGGGCCUGAAGAAAGCAGGACCAGGGCUAGGUGUGCUGGCUGGACAGGUCACAUUAUGCUCUAGAGGUGCAUCUCUUGUGUUUGGAGCCUGGAGCUUUGCAUCAGGUGUACAGCUGUCCACCCGCAAUAGAACCCUGGGCUCCCCGAGCCAUGUGCGCUGCUCACUGCAACUUUCCUGUUGCUCUGACUCCAGGAACAUGGCCCUUGGGAACUAGCACUGGGAGGCCAACUUCAUUGCACCUCCGUGGCGGCCUGUGACUGGCUCCUUUAGACACUGAUUAACUUUUCAGAGAAACGCAAUCAUUAGGCAAAUGCCAUCCACCUAACAGGGAAGAUAUAAACAUAUGUAAACAUUAACCUAGACACACGGGUUUACAAGCUACAGCUGCCCUUGGGCAUAUGGGUAGUGCCAGCUUGCCCUGGGUCCAGGUAGCUGCUUGGCUGAAGGAAGGAAAGCUGGCAGUAUCAUGCUUUCAGUUUACACCAACCGAGAUGGAAACAUGCCCCCUGGAAGGUGGAUUUGUACGUCACCAAGGUUUACCUAACAGCGAGAAACACACACACCGGUACCCCCAAGGCUGUAUGAUCGCACAGCUGUACGCAUUUAUUUCUGACGAGGCUAACCUAGUUUUAGCUAUUUAGCUGAUAAAAAUGUCCUGCAGAAUGGGGGUGCAAAGGGAAAGAAGCCUUGGUAAUCUGAGAUCUUGCUAUAGCAGGCAUCCUGCCCUCAACUCACACAGAGAGCAAGCUUGGAUUGUUUGUUGACUGUGUGGUUGAGAGUGGGUGUGAGUUUCUCCUUUGGAUGGUUAAGGGUAGAAACAGGGCUCUGGUGUCUGGUCAACCCUCAAGAAGCAUACAUCUUCUGGAGACCCCAAAUCCCGUGAUAGUGUAGGACUGACGACCCUCCUCCACAAAGCCCACCAGGAAGCCAUCCUCAGCCCCUUAGGUUGUCAAGGGCAGACAGCUUAUAAAUGGUGUCAGGUGCUGGUGGCUGGACAUUCUGGAACCCACAGUCAAAAUGCUGGUCCUAUUGGAAACCCCAAAGUCAUCAUUCCAGGAUGAUCCCUCAACUGACCUUUUCUAGACAGUUCAGAGAAUGUUCUAGAAGAACAUUCUAGCCCCAAGAGGCUCCUUUCCACCCUCAAUUUUCCUCCAUCCCUUCCCUCUGCUCUGCAUCUUUAAACUGCUCCUUCACUCUGUUACCUCCUCCGUUUGGAGUCCCAGGCUUGCUGGAACCCUGGGCAAGGGAAGUAGAUGACCAGAAGGAAAGGACCUUGGAAAGAAUAAGACCCUGUGCACUUGCUUCUGACAAGUCACACAACUAGCAUCCACGAUAAAACUAGGAUGUAUUUCUUCUUUCAUCCGACUCAACAGGCAGUUUCAGGUCAUGAUUAAGAGCAUGGAUUUUGGAGUCAGAUAUAGCGGGGUGAGUGGUGGUUCUGCCAUUUAUAAGCUGUCUGCCCUUGAACAAGCUAGUCCGCCUUCCUACUCCGUAGUUUCCCCACCUGUAAAAUGAGAGCUACUUCGAUCGUUAUGAGAACAAGGAGACUGUGCAUGCAAAAGGCCUGACAUUUCCUCUGCCUAUACAGCAAGUGAUCAGUAAACAUUAGCCAUUAUUAUUGGGGAGCAUAAGAGCCACAUAGAAAAACUGGUUAGUCAGCACUGGUGGAGCCACCACUGUGACAUCUCUCUUCUAUCGAGGGAAGCUGGAAGUAUGUUCAGUGGAGCGCACGGGAGGUCAGGUCAUGCAGGAUGGGAUUUUAAACGUCUGCUCCCCAGUGAAUGAGAAAUAUCAUAUCUUGACCCUGCAUUUUUAAAAAAUUAGACUAUGGUUAAUUUACAAUGUUGCACCAAUUUCUGCUGUACAACAGCGUAACCCAGUCAUAUGUAUGUAUGUAUAUAUGUAUAAAAUUAUAUGUAUGUAUAAUUAUAUAUAAAAUUUCUCAUGUUGUCUUCCACCAUGUCCUAUCCCAAGAGACUGGCUACAGUUCCCUGUGUUAUACCGUAGGACCUCGUUGCUUAUCUAUUCUAAAUGUAAUCGUUUGCAUCUACUAACCCCACACUCCCGUCCAUCCCACUCCCUCCCUGCUCCACUCCCCCUUGGUAACCACAAGUCUGUUCUCUACGUCUGUGAGUCUGUUUCUGUUUUGUAGACAGGUUCGUCUGUGCCGUAUUUGAGAUUCCACAUAUAAGCGAUAUCACAUGGUCUUUGUCUUUCUCUUCCUGACUUCCUUCACUUAGUAUGAGAGUCUCUAGUUCCAUUAUGUUGCUGCAAAUGGCAUUCUUUUGUUCUCUUUUAUGGCUGAGUAGUAGUGCAUUGUGCAUAUGUACCACAUCUUCUUAAUCCAUUCAUCUGUCGUUGGGCAUUUAGGUUGUGUCCAUGUCUCGGCUAUUGUGAAUAGUGCUGCCAUGAACAUAGGGAUGCAUGUAUUUUUUUUGUUUUUUUUUUGAAUUAUCGUUUUGUCUGGAUAUACGCCCAGGAGUGGGAACCCUGCAUUGUUUUUGUUGAGAAUCUGGCCUGAAGGAAAGUAUUUCAACAGAAACUGUCAUAAGCAGAGUCAGCGUCAGAGGAAGAACCCUGGGUGGGGCGGGACCCUAAUGGAACUAGAGCUUCGUAUGGUAGGUCAGAGAAAGAAGAAAAUGAUUCAGGCAUAGCUUUAACUCCCUGAGCCAGCAGCCUGCUGGGGUCAGAAGCUCCUUCCCACAGGUAUCAGGCCAGAAUCUUGAAAGGAAGAAUUUCUUGGGGUUGAAGUAACCAUAAACAGAUCCAACUGGUUUUUGUGGUGGGUGAUGUUUGUUUAACAUUAUGUCCAGAUGUCUCGAUUGUGAGACACAGACGUUGGCAUCAGAACGUGUUUAUAAAAUUCUUUGUUGAACUCCAUACUGGGUUAGAUACUGGGACAGAUCAAACUGAAACCAAAUUGCAGGCCCCACCCUUCUGAGGAAGGGUUGGGACUGGUCCCAGCGUUCAAAAAAGUGGACAAGAAACCAAAAUCAUAUGAGCAAGGAGGCCUUGCCCGACAUUCUCAGCUGUUUUCCAAUUCCAGGAAAAAUGCAAAGUCGUGGACAUGGCAAAGUAAUCAGGGGCUGUGUUAAGAUCUGGUUUCUCAGGUGAGCCCGGGACAGUGAGAAUGCCCCCUCCUUGGGACCACGUGGCUCCUUUCCAACCCUGGGAAGCUAAUGAGAUACUCUGCUUGGCAACCUUCCCUUGAGGGUGGGAAGUGAAUGCUUCACCCCUCCCCCCCCCCCCCCCAAAAAAAAAACCUGGCUAAACUGUGCUGGGUUUACUUUUCUUGGUCUUCCCACCAAACUUAAGCAUCAGUGUCCUCUCUUUGGGGAUGAUUUCCUGUUCUGGCAAAGAAGUGUAAAUGGUUUAAUUUUUUCUUUUUUUUUUUUUUUUCUGUUUGUUUUCAUCCUGCUGUUGGCUACAAACUCAGAUUUGUAUUUUUAGCUUGACUUUGGGUAGCAGGAGAGAGAACAGUGAGACCAGGCCAAGAGCCGCAGGAUAGAAUCAGCUCCGGCCAACAUUCACGCCACUUCCGGGGCCAAGGGGCGGGGCGCAGCGCCCUGUCCUAAGCAAGAAGGGAAAUGUCCAUAAAUGUAUUUUUUGUGCAGACAGAAAGGAAUAGAGACGAGAGACUCUCAGAUACAGGCCUCCAUCAGCUAACUUAACUUCAGCAGAGUCCAGGUACAUCUCUGCCUCAGAACAACGACGACAAAAGUUUCUCUGCAAACAUACUAUAUUUGAAGCAUCUGAAAAAUCGUUUAUUUGCAGCUUAUUAUAAAAGAGCUCUAUGACUGGGAGGCUGUUAUCUUUAAAAUAGUCCAUACACGUCUUUCUUCCCUUGAUGGAUGAGGAGGGAAGAGAUUAGAAACUAGAGGAAUCCAGAGUUGCCCUCAUGGUUCAGUGGUUUACAAGCUUGACUAGGAUCCAUGAGGACCUGGGUUUGAUCCCUGGCCUCACUCAGUGGGUUAAGGAUCUGGCGUUGCUGUGAGCUGUGGUGUAGGUCGCAGAUGCUGCUCGGAUCUCACAUGUCUGUGGUUUGCAGAUAGUAGAGAUUUGGAGGUGUCUGCUGGGAGAAAAAUAUUUUUUAAGUGUCAACAAAUUUCGGUGAGGAGUGAUACCAAAAAUAUCACCAAGGGGUGAUCUGUUCUUCUUCACUAUGGCUUUACAUUGGCUAUAGCCAUGCCCACCUGGCAAUAGGCUUCUGGAGUAGAUGGGUAGGAUUAUUUUGCAUGUAUGAAUCUCUCAAGACGUGCCACAUUUCCAAAGUCAUAUUGUUUAUUCCUACCAGGGUAUAUUUUAGGCUGUUAUCUAGAAGAAGGUUUGCAGGGUAAAUUCAUUUAUUCAUAAUUUAUUCAACCUUGAUGGAUCAAGCACCUCAUGUGUGUGCCAGGAUUGCUCCCUCAGGGAACAAGUCCCUCCUCGUGGAGUUUACAUUCUGUAAAUACUUCUAAUCAGAGACAAACAGAAAACACUUUAGUUACUGGGUAGUUUUUUUUGGAUUCUGUCAUGGGCUAGGGGUGAAUUAACUAAGCAAAAGAACCUAAGGUCUCUGUGAAUGGAAUGAUGGCCAGGCAUUUGGAAGCUGAAUGGGAACCCCAGUGUGGCUUCUUUGGGGGGGCCGUCCAGGAGGAGCACCUGGCUUCUCUCUCCAGGAGCGAGGCCUUGAGUUUGUCUAACGAAGGGCUGGCUCUUUGAAAACAGGCUGAGGUCAACUCAUGUGGUCACGUGGGGUUUACAGACCACUUCUUCCCCAAGGCUGUUAGCCAUAGAGCCUAAGGCUUCCCCAUAGAGUGGCUGUUAGCUUGGUGAUGUGAGAGGACAGGUCCAGAAGGAAAGAUGGGUGGAGUUGCCGUCGUGGCGCAGUGGUUAACGAAUCCGACUAGGAACCAUGAGGCUGCAGGUUCCAUCCCUGGGCUUGCUCAGUGG
rnacentral:lncRNA from 1 species